GAAAACCAAACGUUUACUGCAGCUCCAUCGUGAGCUACACACAGCGUGGAUCUCUCUGUCUUGAGCGAGCGACUGUUGUUGUUGUUGUUGUUGUAAUAUUAUGUGUGUUUGUGUUUAAGUUGCUCCGCGAAUUCCAUGACAAAAUGGCGUUGAGGGAUGAAGUCGUCCGUUGCAUGGGGAACCGGCUCACCUGUGUCGCGCUUGCAGAGAAGUGCGCUUGAAAGGGUGCGCAGAGUGUGGAGCCAGUUGUUUCGCUGUUCCGGUUCAGAGGUGUUUGAGAAGCCGGUGACUGUUCGGGCUCUCCGAAGGGAUUGAGCUUUGACGUCAAGAAGAGUUCAGUGCUGGUCCAUAUUCUGGUGUCUGGAGAGUAAUCCGAGAAUUUUUCCCUGUUGAACUGCGAGGAUCUGACCAAGCACCAUGAGCUUGCCUUGGUCAAGGCCAUGGUGAGUGUGUGUAUCUUGGUCGUUCUGUCUCCGAGGCUUUUUUUUGUUUUUGCAACCGAAGCAACGUUGCAGACUCUUGUGAGGCGUGCGCAACUCUGGCAGUGUGGAAAGGCAGUACGGAGUACUUGUUGAAAAAUUGUGGACACAUCAAUAGCCUAUGGAAUAAUCUUCCAUCCUACUGUCCUUCAGUCAUUUGCGAACUAUCGCUGAGUCUUAUUGUUUGAGGUCCUCAUGGAAUCUGCAUCAUUAGUGACACCAACAGACUGUCCUUGGACUUGCAUUAUCAUUCUGCUUUUUAUGGCAUAGCCAGACACGAUUUUGGCCAACGUGACGACGAACGGGAUGUACUUGGCAUUUCCUGACCAAGCUCUAGAGGAGGCUAAUUGCAACUUUACUGAAAUUUCUGGAAUUCCUGUUAUUGAUGAACGUCACAGAUGUCCUGGAAUAUUAUCCAAGAAGGAUGGUUGAAAGCGUCUGAUAUGUUCCCGUAUUCAAGCUGAAAAACGAGAUCUACCGUAUUCCGAUGGUCAACGACCAAGAGCAGCAGGCUGUCAGUAAAUGCGGCCCUCGUUUGAAUUUCUGAGAGGUGUUGUGACAAGAACCGACACUUUUUUCCGAAUUAGAAGUGGUCGUUUGAGUGAUCUCGGAGCGAUUGUUGAAUAGUUUGUCGGUAUUGAGUCGGAAACUUCGAGCGGUUAAUACUGUGCUAGACCACCCACCAGCAAAGGUAUUUGAGAUCAAGUAUACUGAGUGUUUGACAACUGAGUUCGCCGAAUUUCCCGAGCGUAUGUCCAGUAUUUACAACCGCCUCAAGGGCUUUCUUCUUUAUUCAUGUCGAGUUUGACUUUCAGGUCUAGGAGUCUUGUGGCCUAAUUCAGAGCUUUUAAAAAAAGAUUAGCUCUUUGAUUUAGUUUUUCAAUAGUCUCUAUACUGAUGGAGAAUACCGCACGAAUGCUCGUCAUGAGUUCUGUUUUCAAUUGAUUGCAAUCGGUUCUCGGAUCAAACCUGUGUUAUCAAUGACCAACUUUGAUUGUCGUACAUUUACAACUAUUUCAAUGCGCCCUGUGCUACACAACCGCCAUCCUGAUUCCUUCGUCCUCGGUAGUCAUCACGCUGCAGGUUAAGGCUAGCUAACCCUGAGGCUGUAGCUCGCCUUCAAAUCCAGUGACAUGACUCUAACAACUCUAAAAAAUCAAAUUAACUUUUUUUAUCACAUCACCAGUUGAUAACAGAGUGAGGCAAACUGCCUCACUCACGUCCUUGACUGGAUCGGCUAUACACCAUUAGUUCUCAAUUAGCAAGCAGCAACCCAAUCAGGGGUGCAUGGUGAAGACGUUGAUACCUACAUUGCUUAAAUUGAGAAGAAAAUUGCUAAGCUUGAAGUUGGCUGUGUGAAUUUAGGUAUGUGUAGAUUGACAUUUCGUGCCACAGUAUUGGAACAGUAAGGCAGUUUCUUGUGGAGCACCUUGAGAAUUACAUGACUUGUAGUUUCCCAUGCUCGCCCUGGAUGACUCCAGCAUAUUCCAAGUCAACCUUCUGAAGAUAAGGCAAGCAUGUAAAGGAAACAACAGUGGAUCUGGAAAUAACAGCUUGGAUCCAUUAUUUGAAUAACUAGUUUAUUUGUUCCCUGGUUUAACAACGUUAUUGUAUAAGAAUAUCUGUCAAACCUCCAGCUGAGGCUCCUCUUUCCAAUCCAGACAUGAGCACGAGUCUUAUUAGAACCAUAGGGAGCUCAACUUCCUUCACAUUCGUGCUCCUGCUGAUUGAAUGUUAUCUCUCACACUCCUUUAAAGGAAUGUGUAAUUGGUACAAAAGAAGAAACGCAUUCAAUAACAAGUAUGCGUUUUCUAGGGACAAAUAAUUAUAUUAUGAACAUCAAAGAA